rnacentral:rRNA from 1 species
CACUGGCAGCUCAAGUGGUGGCCGUUUUUAUUGGGCCCUAAAGCGUUCGUAGCCGGUUUGAUAAGUCUCUGGUGAAAUCCUACAGCUUAACUGUGGGAAUUGCUGGAGAUACUAUCAGACUUGAGGUCGGGAGAGGUUAGAGGAACUCCCAGGGUAGGGGUGAAAUCCUAUAAUCCUGGGAGGACCACCUGUGGCGAAGGCGUCUAACUGGAACGAACCUGACGGUGAGUAACGAAAGCCAGGGGCGCGAACCGGAUUAGAUACCCCGGUAGUCCCUGAGCGGGCUGGCAA